rnacentral:rRNA from 1 species
AUGCCGGCCUUCGCCGAGAGCACGGCCGAGCCGCCUCUGGCGGACAGCUACUACGCGCUGCUCCGCGGUGGCAACAAAGCCGACGAGUGCGCCUCGGCGCCGCCGCCUGGCUGCCAGGCCCCGCCCGUGUCGGAAUGCGAGCUCCCGAUGAUCGACGUUGGGUGCCUGACGGCGUGCGGCGGGGGCACGGAGGAGAGGGCGGCAUGCGCCGCGGCGAUCGCGUCCGCGGCCGCUGAAUGGGGCUUCUUCCAGGUGGUCAACCACGGCGUCAAGCAGGAGCUCCUGGAGGCGAUGCGGCGGGAGCAGGUGCGCCUCUUCCGCCUGCCGUUCGAGGCCAAGGCCACGGCCGGCCUUCUCAACGACUCCUACCGCUGGGGCUCCCCUACCGCCACGUCGCCAAGGCAGCUGUCCUGGUCUGAGGCCUUCCAUGUCCCGCUCGCCGGCAUCUCCGGUACCCCUUGCAGCUACGGCGAGCUCGCCAGCAUCAGGGAUGUGACGCAGGAGGUGGCGAACGCGAUGUCAAAGCUGGCCAACACGCUGGCGCGCGUCCUGGCCGAGAGCCUGGGACACACCGCCGGCCAACGCUUCCCGAAAGGGUGCGACGAGAGGACGUGCUUCCUCCGGCUGAACAGGUACCCGCCGUGCCCGUUCUCGCCGGACGCCUUCGGCCUGGUGCCGCACACGGACAGCGACUUCCUCACCGUGCUCUGCCAGGACCAAGUCGGCGGCCUGCAGCUGAUGAAGGGCUCCCGGUGGGUGGCCGUCAAGCCCAUUCCCGGCGCUCUCAUCGUCAACAUUGGAGACCUCUUCCAGGCAUGGAGCAACAACAGAUACAAGAGCGUGGAGCACAAAGUGGUGACCAACGCGACGACGGAGAGGUACUCCGUGGCAUACUUCCUUUGCCCGUCGUACGACUCGCCCAUCGGCGCAUGCGAAGAGCCUUCACCUUACAGGACCUUCACCUUCGGGGAGUAUCGGAGAAGGGUGCAGGAAGAUGUCAAGAAGACGGGGAAGAAGAUUGGCCUUCCCAAUUUUCUGCUGUAG